UGGCUGCGUGGUAAUGCCGGACUACCUACACCGCCUUCUAUCGAGGAGCACAAGUGGCUCAUUGAACCUGUGGGGACAGAAAACUGGAUCCUUCGCGGAAAGGGCCGUAAACCGAACGGCCUUAUCACUGUCCUGUUGAAGGAGUUUUGGCUUGGCCUAUUCUGCCCGCGGCCAGACAGGGACCCGCAGCAGCGGGUUUUGGCCACGAGCUGGGCCCACUACGAGGCUUGCAGCAACGCGGAGUACGGGACGGCCGCUAAGGCCGUGAUCACCAAAUUUUGGCAACUCUAUAGAGUUCUUGACGAGCACAAGGCCAGAGCCGACGUGGUCUUGCUU